CAACCAGGUCUGGAGCCCAAACCUUCAACGCCUGGGCUUUCCUGCCUUCGACUCCUCCGAGCUCUCCUGGAGGCUGAGCAGGCAACAGAGCCUGCUUCUCAGCUGGGUGUGGCCCGUGGGAGGUGGAGAAACUGAGGCUCAGAUAAAUGACUAAGAAGUAAAGUGAGGUCCCAUAGCCAGUGAAUGGCAGAGCAGGGAUUUGAACCCAGGUCUCUCAUCUGGGAACUGGGAUGAUAGCGCCAACCUAGCUGGAUUGCUGUGACCACCAACACAAUGCCUUCUAAGGGUUCAAGAUGAGAUGACUUAGUCCCAGAUGGGUUAAGUAACUGGCCCAAGGUCACAGCGCUGGUAAGCAGCUGGGCUUCAAUCCAACCAUCCUGACUCCAGAAGCCUAUUUGAACUACCACCUUCUGCACCUGCCCCGGGGCUUCUUCGCCUGAGCUGGUGCCUCGCUGCUGCCCUGCUCAUCGUCUUCUGGGAAGAUGCCUCUCAUAUUGCCAGUCCCGCAGCCAGAAGCCUCAGGUGCUGCCCUGGGCUCCCUGAAUAGGCAUCCCUCCUGGCCUUCAAACUGCAUCCUUCCUGACUAACCUUCCAUUCCCCAAGGUGGCCCUCCACACUUUGGAGCCUCAGCUCACCUCUCACUCUCACGCUUCAGUUUCGCGCUUCCCUGCCGAACGGUCCCACCUCUGUGCUUUUGCUUAAGCUGUGCACACUUCCCGGAGUGCUCUUUUCCCUAUGUCUGCCUGGGCUCCAAUGCCUGAGCUGGGCUUGUAUGCCUGAGCUGAUCCAUGGCAUACAAGCACCUAUGGAGGCCCGGGGGAAGGAGGCAGUGGUAUGUGUGUCAGUGUGAGGAGGUCAGUGACGAGGUUUGGGGCUUCGGGGUCAGUUAUGUGGCUUCAGGGCAAGUCCCCAUCUCCCUGAACCCCAGUUUCUGCAAAAUGAAGAUAUCCAUCCCAGCUUCUCCCGAGGUUUAUAAUGGUAAUCUGUGAGGUUCUGGCACCCAAUGAAUCCGUAACUACCUUUUGUGAUAAGUUCCCCAUUUGUGAAGUCAAGUGAAGGCCCCCGGUGUCGGCAGUGCAGGAAAACCUGUCCCCUGAGCCCCUCAUCCCUAGGGAGAACCCUACCUUCAGUGCCUCUCUGAACAAGAGGGCCAGGAAGGGGUCACUGUACACCAGUUGGUCCCUAGUGACCAGUCCUGGCCAGAGGGCCUUUAUCCCACUUCCAGUAGCCGAGCACCAACCAUCCCCAGCUCCGGGAGGGGGUGGGUGGCACCCUGCUUCCUCCACAUUGUUGCCACCUCAGAGAGUCAGAAUCCAGGGAGACAGUCUCCUGGCAGCAGAGCUCCUGCUCCCCACCAUGGGUGUCUGUGACGCUGCCAGGCCCACUGGGGGCUGCAGGCACUCCAGCAUCAGAACUGACUAGGUCCUGGGAGUGGGAAGGGGACUCCAGCCAGGGACACUGGAGACAGGGCCAGUCUGAGUGCCUGCUCUCCCAGGGGCAGGUGCCAGCAUGGUGCACCCCUCAAGGAGCGUGGCAGGCGAGAUUGAGGUCCUGGCUGCCCCAGGCUCCUGUGCCAUCGAGAGGGAAAGCACCUGGCACAGGUAUACAGUAGGUGCUCAGUGCUGGGGAGAAUCUUCCCUUGGUGGAAUUCUGAACACUUUGGGUACCAGCAGAGUCAGAGUUCCCAGGGGAGGAGGCAGGCAUUUGACAACGGCUGUCGGGAGGAUAUAGCAUGUCCAACCUUCCCCUCUCCAUGAGAGGAAGUAGUGACCCCAACCCCAGGACCCUUCUCUGCCCAUUCACACCCACCCACUCCCACCUCUCUGCCAGCCUCAGUUGGAUAUGGAGCAGAAUGUAAUGAGGACUUACCUGUCCACAAGGACUUCAUAGCUGUUCCAAAGCCAUGGAUGGGCAGGUGCUAAUGCAGCCCCUCAGUCUCCCCCUUCCCUUGCUUUUGGAGUGGGCUUGGGACCCCCGGGGAGGUCUUAACUCACUGAAGACACCAGGACCCAGCUUCUGAGUAUUCCUAGAUGCCAUUUCUACCCCUAGAAACUUCACAUGGAGCCAAAAGCCCAUUUGAAGCUCAGUCUGGACCAGGAGAGGCUAAUCAUAAAAUGGAUAUUUUUUAAGUGUACAGAAAUAAGAAUUUAUUUUUGAAGACAUGAUUUAUAUUUUGAAUGGCUAAUGCACUCACAUGCUUCAAAAUUCAAAAUUCCAAAAGGACUGACAGUGCAAAGUCGCUCCUCCUUUGGUCCCCACCACCCAGUUUCCCUCUGCAGAGGGAACCUUGUUGCCAGUUCUUGUAUGUUCUUCCAGAAAUUUUCUAUGUAUAAACCGUCACCCUC